rnacentral:rRNA from 1 species
GAUGAACGCUAGCGGCAGGCCUAACACAUGCAAGUCGAGGGUGAAGCCCUUUCGGGGGCCGAAACCGGCGCACGGGUGCGUAACGCGUAUGCAACCUACCUUUCACAGGGGGAUAGCCCGAAGAAAUUUGGAUUAAUACCCCAUAAUAUUAUUGGAUGGCAUCAUUUGAUAAUUAAAACUGCGGUGGUGAAAGAUGGGCAUGCGUCCUAUUAGCUAGUUGGAGUGGUAACGGCACCCCAAGGCUACGAUAGGUAGGGGUCCUGAGAGGGAGAUCCCCCACACUGGUACUGAGACAGGGACCAGACUCCUACGGGAGGCAGCAGUGAGGAAUAUUGGUCAAUGGUCGGAAGACUGAACCAGCCAUGCCGCGUGCAGGAAGAAUGCCUUAUGGGUUGUAAACUGCUUUUAUAUGGGAAGAAUAAGGCGUACGUGUACGUUGAUGACGGUACCAUAUGAAUAAGCAUCGGCUAACUCCGUG